GUUAGAAUAACACCCCUACCAGCAUAAACUUAAACAAAAGAAGAAAGAUAAUCACCUAAAUCCCCUUUAAUCUCUGUCACCAAUUUAUGAAUCCACGUAACUUGAAUUUUGAUUUGUAUUACGAAAAUACAUAUCCAAAAAGAGAGAAGAUAAUCAAAUCCUAUUUCUAGAUUUACUUCUUCUUGAUCCGGCAGCGGCGACGAUGAAGAUUUGGGUGGUGGCGGUAUCAAUCAAUUCCUUAUUAUAUAAAGGAGAAUAAUUUUGGUGACGUGUUGACACCAUAUUCAGCCUUACCAAUGCUCAAAAUUUAAGAAGCCACGUAGGAAGCCACCCUUUGAAGAGAGUUGGCACUUGAAAAAGGCACAACAGUUUCGAUCGAACAGUUCGCUACAAAACUAUAGAAGUUUCUUUUCGUAAAAUAUUUGGAGACCUAUCGUUUGAAACGUUGCAUUUUGAAAUACCGGCUAUUUGGAACCAUGUCAAUCAAUUAUGAACUAACAUCUCCGUCCAUGACUAUAAAAUCUUUAUCUUAAGCCAGCCUAUUUUUAUCAAUUUCCGAUUCGUUUUUUUGGCUUCAGUUUUUUGAACUAACAUAUUCAGUCUGAUAUGAUACCUGAUCAAUCGCACGCACAAAAUAAAGUGCAACAUUCAACGGGGCUUGAUAUGCAACAUGUGAACCAAUUUUAGGCAUCCAAUUGAUUGAUGAAACCCUAAUAGCAUCAGAUCAAUCAAGUCGUACAGUGUAGUAUUUGUAAGUCUCAUCAAUCAUCAGAUUUUGAACUUAAAAAAGUCAAGAUGACUUUCCAAGGACUUAUCGAUGGUUUUUAGACAAUUUGAGAAGACAUGUUUUGGUUCAGAUGGAGGGAAAACAAGUUUCCGUCAACUUAUUAACCAAGACAGAUUUUAAUAAGAGCGGUCUAAGAAUUUGAUAUUAUUGAACGAAAAUGGGGAUACGGUUUCAUGCUUUGUGGAUAUAUGUUUUUACAAAAUGGGGUGUAAUAAACAUUCAGUUUAAUUCUUCAGUCUCUCAAUCAUGGAGGCAGCACCAUGUUCAUUUACUGAUAAGAAUUUACUCGGGAACGGAGGAUUGCAUUUAUAAAAGAAGUCUAUGUUGUUCAGCAGAGGAAGAAUCAAUAUUGUGGAAUCCCACGCUCAUUGUCAAAAUGGCCAAGGUGGGAUCAGGAACUGAGAAAAAAUAACAAAUAAAAACAAUUGGGUACCAUGCGAAAGCUGCUCAUCCCACAGUUAUAAUGCCUCGGUUUUUGCAGGUGCUUGGAUGUUAGACUACCCCGUCAUAUUACAGUUUGCACCAUGAAAGGAAAAACACCAAUUGAAGUUUUGAAUACGGAUAAUUGUAGAACCAUCACCCAGCUGCUAUCCUCAAAAUGGAAACCCACCUACACCGUGAGCUUUCCAUCUAUCAUUUCAAAAGUGGAUGAUGAGACCUUUGGUGCACAAAAUGCGAGACUGAAAUGGACGUACCCGUUGCAAAGUUAAGUGCCACCAGAAAAUACUAUAUCAUUUCAGUUUGUGGAUGCCUAUCCAGUUGUUAUUUUACUAGCCAGUUGAGCAGUUGUUUUUAGCCGCCCAGGUUCCUGCUGCUCUCUGAAGUGGAAGAUAACACAAGUUUCGUUGUCUUUCUCGCACUGGACAAUGAGAUCCAGAAGUUGGAUCAUCACACUGCUUGGGAGUGUUGUUGAGUGGGUCAGUGGUAAAAAGAGAGAUUUAGUUCUAGAUUGGGCAAAGAUUACUAUUGGUGUUUCAAAUGGAUCAUUGGCUUCUGCAACAAAUACUAAUGAAGUUAUGCCAAGGCAACACUUCAUCUAUGUAGAGAAGAAGUACUAUAUAGCUAGGAAAAGUUAACCAAGCUUUAUGAAUGUUCAUAAAAUGUAAUUUUAAUGAUGCACGUUGAGGUUCGAUUGGUUGAGUUCCAUGGAAUAGUUACAUGACAAGAAAACUUUAAGGAAAGAGGCACGAGAAAGGUCACCACACGAGAACCCUUAAAAAACAUAAAUCAAUUGAAUUGCACGGGGAUACAAGGACCUUGUUAUGAUGAAAGUGACCGUAGCCGUGGAGAUGGUGGCGGUAGGUUUAGAUCAGAGGAGGAGAUCUGGGUGCUUAUCUUCUGAUGUUGGGAUCGAAUAAAGGAGGAAGAAGAAAUAAAAGGCUAAAAUAGGGACUCAACAAAAUACGAAAUUGCUUUAGACUUAUUUUUCACCCCUCGAGGGUAAUUGUGCAAGGCCCACUAACAUGGAGGGUAUUUAUAACAUUCCAACAAUUUUAGUUGAUCCCAUUUCCCAUUUUUAGAUUUUUCUAAGACA